GGUAACUUCUUCACAGGCAUCCCUUCCCACCAAGGCUCUAGCUCCUUCCUCCCUUGUUCUAUUUGGGGGUUGGUUUCCGCUACUCUGAAAAACACCUCUACGCCUUCCAGGGUCUCAGACCUCCGCCAGCCUGCUUGGGACUGGAAGCCUACCUUCUGUACACCUGGCCUCAGCUAAAAAGUCUGAAUUUAGGCUGCAUCAAGGAAUGAGCUGGAACCUAAGGUACCCUAUUGCACCGAGAAUCGCCCUCCCGGUCAGUGGCACUGAGAACCACCUUGCCCUGAGCUGCCAUGUGGAAAACGCCUCACCUACAACAUGGGAGACUGCGGAGAGGGAAGGGACCAACCCAAACAGGAUACAAAAUGGAAUGCACACCAUGAUUACAACUCUGCAAAAUAUAUCUUCCAGUGGACUAACAUUGGACAUGAACAAGCAAAAAUUUAAAAAAAAAAAAAAAAAAAAAAACCUGUGUGUCCGAUGAUGAGAAAAUGGAGUCUUACAGAGUAAAGCAACUUGUCCAGUCAUCCAGUCAAGUAAGAAUAGAGUUGGAAUUCAAAGCCAGGAUCAAUCUUACCUUAGAACUCAAACUUUUAACACUACCUCACCCUAAAAAAUGUGGUAUACAUGCACAAUGGAGUUUUACUCAGCCAUAAAGAAAAAUGAAAAUUAUGGUAUUUGCAAUAAAUGGAUGGAACUUGAGAACAUCAUGGUAAGUACAUAAGUGAAACUCAGAAAAUUAAGGGUCAGUUGGGUACGGUGGUGCACAACUGUGAUCCCAGCUACUUGGGAGGCUAAAGCAGGAGGAUUGAGAGUUGAAAGCCAGCCCCAGCAAAAGCAAGGCACUAAGCAACUCAGUGAGACCCUGUCUCUAAAUAAAAUACAAAAUAGGGCUGGGGAUGUGGCUCAGUGAUCCAGUGCCCCUGAGUUCAAUCCCUGCCCCAAAAAGGAAGUUAAGGGUCAUAUGUUUUCUCUCAUAUGUAGUCCUGUGCUACAUAAUUCAAAGGGUGGCUGGGAGGUUCAAUGAUUUAUAUAAAGCAACUUUCGCCAUGUCUGCCACACAGUAUGCAUUUAAUGCGUUAGCUGUAGUCAUAUAUGUCAGAAGACAGGAAUGUGGGUAUAGAAGCAUUCUUAGGAAAAAAGGAAAACAAAGGUGGGGUUAGAUUGCCUAAAAAUCAAAGGGAGAUCAGUAGAGAAAAGGGACCAAGUUAUGGAAGGCAGAGAAGGAGGGGGGAAGUGUUAGGGAGUGAUAUUAACCAAAUUAUGUUUUUAUAUUGUGUGUAAUAUACAAAUAUGUAACAACAAAUCCCAUCAAUAUGUAUGACUAUAAUGCACCAACUAAAAAAUGUUGGGAAAAAACACAGUCCCUUAUCCUGCCUUACAUAAUUCAGUCCUGUGCUACCUAAUUCAAAGGGUGGCUGGGAGGCUCAAUGAUUUAUUUAAAACAACUUUCACCAGGUCUGCCACACAGUAAGCAUUUAAUAUGUUAGCUAUAGUCAUAUAUGUCAGAAGACAGGAAUGUAGGUGUAGAGGCAUUCUUAGGUAUUAACUAUGACUUGUGGAGUUUGUUACAUCAGCCUGGCUAGGAAGAGGGCCCCUGCUUCCUUCACUGUCCUCCUUCUCCCACUACAUGCCUCUUCUAAGAUGUACAAGUGGGUAAAGAAGACAACCUUCCCUGAUUAAAACAGGAAAAAAGGUGAACUUUAAAUGCAAAAGACCAGAUAAUUCUGAAAUAGUAAACAAUAAUAAGGGAAAGUAUGGCCAGGUGCCAUGGUACAUGCUUAUAAUCCCAGCCACUAGGGAGACUGAGGCAGAACGGCAAGUUUGAGACCAGCCUGGCAACUUAGUGAGACCCUGUUUCAAAAUUUAAAAAAAAAAAAAGGAUCUGGGGAUGUAUCUCAGUGGUAGAGCAACCCAGGUUUCAAUCCCCAGUACUGGGGGGGAAAAGUACAUAUGCCUAUAUUUUAAUUCCUCAUUUGUCAUCUACAUUUUAGUCCAAAAAUAAAAGAAGGAACAAAAUUGAGAACUGAUACCAUUUAUUUUGCAAUCAUAUUUCCCUUUUGUCAGCUGAACAUAUAGAAUGAGGCAAGCUAAGACUGCUCCUUAUCCUUGUGCAUCAGGUAGAUUCAGAGGGAAGAUACCAUCACUGGAACUCAUUUCUUUUGGUAACCAGAGAUUGACUCUGACAUCAUAUGGAUAUUCCUAAAGGAUUUUAGAGGCAGGAUAUUAGGGAUUUUGUAUUCUAAACCACCAGGAAAUGCCUCCAAGGUUGCAGUGGGAGAAGCCAAGACAUAGCAGCUUGGAGGGGAUCUGGCAGUUCACGUGGGAAGGGCCUGACUUUGGUUGGGUCAGGAAUGUGACCAGAGUCUGAUUCCCAGCUUUGCAGGUCAAGAAAUUCAUAUUCUCCCAGAAUAAUCAGAAGAUUCUAUAAAGACUCAUAGAUAGAUACUAACUAUAGAAAAAACAGACUGUUUUAAACUGUUACUAAACAAACAACCUUAAAAGUUCAGUUACAAAAUAAUAAAUGUUUCUUAUUAACGUAUUUUCAGGUCAGAUGGGAUUUGACUGAUUUAGUUGGGAUUGUUUGAACUUGGCUGAAGCCAUGAGUUGAGUUGAAGUCAGUUUCAUAUGUCUCUCAUUCCUUAGUGACUAAUGGGCCAUCCAGGGCAUGUUCUUCAUAUGACAGAAACCCAAGAGAACAAAUGCUGAAAACACAUAUAUGACAUAUAUGUAUCAGCUGUUUUUAUUUACAGUGAAGGCUAAUCCUUGCCAGAGGAUCCUGAUGGCAAACAGAGGUAUUCUUAUUUACUCUGGAUAUGCCAAGAUACUCUGGAGUAUGUUUCUAGAAUAUUAUAAAUCCUCAGAGUUGAGGUUACCAGAUCAAGUAUUCUAUUUCAAUGUCAUAUUUAAUUUCGUUGGCCACUUAAUGAACAUGUGACUUUGAGAAAGUUAAAUUCUCUGUGACUUGGUUUUAUUACCUACACAUAUAUGACAUAUGUCCGCAUCACAAAAAAAAAGUUAAAUGCAAAGAGCACACAGAUAGAAUAUAAAAUUGAGUACAAAACUUGAUCAU